rnacentral:rRNA from 1 species
UACGGAGGGUGCAAGCGUUAUCCGGAUUCACUGGGUUUAAAGGGUGCGUAGGCGGGUUGGUAAGUCAGUGGUGAAAUCUCCGAGCUUAACUUGGAAACUGCCAUUGAUACUAUCAAUCUUGAAUAUUGUGGAGGUCAGCGGAAUAUGUCAUGUAGCGGUGAAAUGCUUAGAUAUGACAUAGAACACCAAUUGCGAAGGCAGCUGGCUACACAAAUAUUGACACUGAGGCACGAAAGCGUGGGGAUCAAACAGG